UUGGGAAGGGGAAGUGACUCGCGGCUCCUCGGAGGCCCAUCAGGGUCUGUCGCCAUCUUGGGACUGGGCAGAGUGGGGCAAUGCCUCCUUUCAGCCACUACUGUUUGCUGCCUGAGAGGGCGAAGAGGGUGCGCACGGGAAACCCCCCUGGAGCCCUCAGGAGUGUUGGAGAGCCCCCAGGUCUAUCCAAACGAGGAACGUGUGUAAACUUGGACGCUCUCGGUGUUGUUGGGGGACGAAUCGCCUCCGAAAGUAUGCCCAGGGGUCUUCGAAGGCCCUCAGCCCCGCGGCGGGGCGGAAGCCUCCAGAUGCUAGGUCUCCGACCCCCACCCCUUUUCCGCCCCGAGCUGCCUUUGUAAACACUGCAGACGUAGCCCCAGCGUGCGGGCCUGCUUUCAGGCGACCAAGGUCAUCUGCUUAGACUCCUGCCAACACAUGAUGUGGCACUAGUUUACAAGAAGGCCCCUUUUACUGCAGCUGACCUUCUGUCCUAAAAGAAAUGGAGGAGGCAGUUGGAUGUGGGCAUGGAGAAUCAAACCAGCUCACCCUACAGCCCUUGACUGAGGACUCCCAUCUGUGGCUGUCCCUAAUGAUAAUAAGCUUGUCACUUGGACAUCACAGAGAGUCCUCAUCUGCUCACCUCAUUUAAGGUUCUCCUCCUGGCUGGCCUUUCUGAAGCAUCUUCUCUCCGCAUCACCUCCCUCCUCAAUUCCGGAAGUUCCGGUGAUCUCUGAUCAGCGUGGGGGGCGCGGCCCCUUUUCCGGGCAGGGCGGGUGUCGGGGUGACCCGUCUGCGGGGACCGAAGGCUGAGGCCGCGAGGAGCUGAGGGAGCCCAGCGCGCCCUCCCUCGCCCGCUGCCCAAGGACUGGGGUCGUUGCCUGGCAGUCGAGCUCUGCGCCUUCAGCAUGGUGACUUUUGACUCCAGCGGGCGCCCCGACGUCGCCUACGCCUACCAGACUGGGUUACAUGGGCGCCGCCAUGCUGGCUCAAGCUUGACCAAUCGAGUGCCGGAACGGCCUUUUCUAAGGCUGGCUGAUGAUCGUCCACUCAGGUGUGUCUUGUCGAUUCCUCUGUUGAUGGACGCUUUAGUUGCUUCCACCUUUUGACUAUUGUGGAUAAUACUGCUCUGAACGUGGGUGUGCAAGUAUCGCUUAGCGUUACUGUUUUUUAUCCUUUGGGUCUAUACCCAGAAGUGGAAUUGCUGGAACAUACGUUAAUUCUGUUUAAUCUUUGAGGAUCCACCUGACUGUUCCCAGGGGCUGCAGCAUUUUACAUGCCCACCAGCAAUACACAGUGUUCCAGGUUCUCCAUGUCCUCGCCAGUGUUUGUUUUACGUUAUUCAUUUAUUUUUGGAUGAUGGCCUUCUUAAUGGGUAGGAAGUGGUAUCUCGUUGUGGUUUUGAUUAGUGACGUUACGCAUGCCGUGACUACUGAUAUAAUGAGACUUUAACAUGAGUGAUUACAAUGAACAGAGCUUUCGGAGGUUAUACUCAGCUUUGGAGUGCAGAUGGAGGCUAUGGGGAACCAUGGUGUUUGGGAUGGAGAAGGGGUCCCUGGGGCAGGACGAGAGGCAGCUGAGUUUUGUGCGGAGGGAUAACAGGUUUAAGGACUAAUCUACAGUCAUCGCCCCCAACACACAUGUGCAGGAACGCAUGCUCAGUCACACCCCACGCAUCACAACUGUGGGGCAGAGAGGACAAAAGGAAGGUGCACAGGGACAGUGACCACUGAACCGAACACAUGAGGCCCAUACCCAGGACCCCACUGGUGGUUCUGAGGGUGUUUAGGGUGGGACUUCUGCCGCAGCAAUCAGCCAUGAGAAGGACUUUGUAAUCUGGUUCCAAUACAGAGGGUGGGACAGGCAGCCACAAGCGCCCUCAGUGGGGAGCACAGCCUGUUCCCCCCUAGCCCCCGCCAUCCCUAAGCUGAGCAGAACAGGCCACUCACAACUGCUGGCAAUGUGCACAGAGAGGGCUCUGAACAGGAAGUGGUAUAUAAUUGCCUAGGACUUGUAUCAUUUUUUUCCCCCUCUUUCUUUCUC